rnacentral:lncRNA from 1 species
UGAGUCCUAACUAAACUCCAAAUCUUUAUUUAAAGAGGAUUUUUAAUCUCAUUAGGACUCUUUUUAAUAUCUUAAGACCUAUUAAUUAAUCCUUAUCUCAUAAGGAAAGGGGAGGUUGGCGCCCACAUCAUAUCCUCACGUCACAAGGCAAUAGGGUUGCACCCCAUCCAUGCUAUCCCAUAGCCCCACAACCCAAUCAGAUUUAAGGGGGCAUGGUCCCUCUAAUUACACCCCAU